GGCGCGGCAACCCGCGGCCGAGGGGUAGCCGGGCUCAUGAUUCUGCCGCUGCUCCACGCCUCGUAAAGGCUUCUCAGAGACCAGAGCUGCGCGGGUUCCCAGCCCCCUCGGACCGCCCGCGGGGAACCGAACCUGCGCGCGGGGCCGGGCGGCGGGACACCAGGAAAGCAUCACAGAGAAGAGCCGAGUGGGCCGGCUGAGCCGACUAGCUAGGAGGAAAGGCAACGAUUCUGUGAGUGAGCCCAGGAAGAGCUUCAUGUAUUCCAGAACCUCAAAUGACAAUAUCCAGGAGUGCUUCAAUGCAACAAAACUGCUGACAUCCCAUGGCAUGAGCGUCCAGGCUCUGUUGAAUGCAACAGAGUUUAACUAUCUCUGUCCAGCCAUUAUCAAUCAAAUUGAUGCUCGGUCUUGUCUGAUUCACACAGCAA
rnacentral:lncRNA from 1 species